AGACUGGGAUAACUCGCGGAAACGCGAGCUAAUACCGGAUAAUACUUUGAACUUCAUGGUUCGAAGAUGAAAGGCGGCUUCGGCUGUCACUUACAGAUGGGCCCGCGGCGCAUUAGCUAGUUGGUGAGGUAACGGCUCACCAAGGCAACGAUGCGUAGCCGACCUGAGAGGGUGAUCGGCCACACUGGGACUGAGACACGGCCCAGACUCCUACGGGAGGCAGCAGUAGGGAAUCUUCCGCAAUGGACGAAAGUCUGACGGAGCAACGCCGCGUGAGUGAUGAAGGUUUUCGGAUUGUAAAACUCUGUUGUUAGGGAAGAACAAGUCGGGUAGUAACUGACCCGACCUUGACGGUACCUAACCAGAAAGCCCCGGCUAACUACGUGCCAGCAGCCGCGGUAAUACGUAGGGGGCAAGCGUUGUCCGGAAUUAUUGGGCGUAAAGCGCGCGCAGGCGGUCCUUUAAGUCUGAUGUGAAAGCCCACGGCUUAACCGUGGAGGGUCAUUGGAAACUGGAGGACUUGAGUACAGAAGAGGAGAGUGGAAUUCCACGUGUAGCGGUGAAAUGCGUAGAGAUGUGGAGGAACACCAGUGGCGAAGGCGACUCUCUGGUCUGUAACUGACGCUGAGGCGCGAAAGCGUGGGGAGCGAACAGGAUUAGAUACCCUGGUAGUCCACGCCGUAAACGAUGAGUGCUAGGUGUUAGGGGGUUUCCGCCCCUUAGUGCUGAAGUUAACGCAUUAAGCACUCCGCCUGGGGAGUACGGCCGCAAGGCUGAAACUCAAAAGAAUUGACGGGGGCCCGCACAAGCGGUGGAGCAUGU
rnacentral:rRNA from 1 species